GAUGAACGCUGGCGGCGUGCCUAAUACAUGCAAGUCGAGCGAAGCGGGGACGGGUGAGUAACACGUGGAUAACCUCCUAUAAGACUGUGAUAACUUCGGGAAACCGGAGCUAAACCGGUUACUUAUAGAUGGAUUCUCGCUGCAUUAGCUAUUUGGUAAGGUAACGGCUUACCAAGGCAACGAUGCAUAGCCGACCUGAGAGGGUGAUCGGCCACACGGGAACUGAGACACGGUCCAGACUCCUACGGGAGGCAGCAGGAGGGAAUCUUCCGCAAUGGGCGAAAGCCUGACGGAGCCACGCCGCGUGAGUGAUGAAGGUCUUCGGAUCGUAAAACUCUGUUAUUAGGGAAGCGGUACCUAAUCAGAAAGCCACGGCUAACUACGUGCCAGCAGCCGCGGUAAUUC
rnacentral:rRNA from 1 species